rnacentral:rRNA from 1 species
AGUCGAGGGGCAGCAUUUUAGUUUGCUUGCAAACUAAAGAUGGCGACCGGCGCACGGGUGAGUAACACGUAUCCAACCUGCCGAUAACUCGGGGAUAGCCUUUCGAAAGAAAGAUUAAUAUCCGAUAGUAUAUUAAAACCGCAUGGUUUUACUAUUAAAGAAUUUCGGUUAUCGAUGGGGAUGCGUUCCAUUAGUUUGUUGGCGGGGUAACGGCCCACCAAGACUACGAUGGAUAGGGGUUCUGAGAGGAAGGUCCCCCACAUUGGAACUGAGACACGGUCCAAACUCCUACGGGAGGCAGCAGUGAGGAAUAUUGGUCAAUGGACGAGAGUCUGAACCAGCCAAGUAGCGUGAAGGAUGACUGCCCUAUGGGUUGUAAACUUCUUUUAUAUGGGAAUAAAGUAUUCCACGUGUGGGAUUUUGUAUGUACCAUAUGAAUAAGGAUCGGCUAACUCCGUGCCAGCAGCCGCGGUAAUACGGAGGAUCCGAGCGUUAUCCGGAUUUAUUGGGUUUAAAGGGAGCGUAGGUGGAUUGUUAAGUCAGUUGUGAAAGUUUGCGGCUCAACCGUAAAAUUGCAGUUGAAACUGGCAGUCUUGAGUACAGUAGAGGUGGGCGGAAUUCGUGGUGUAGCGGUGAAAUGCUUAGAUAUCACGAAGAACUCCGAUUGC